rnacentral:lncRNA from 1 species
GACAUGAACUUUUUUAUCUCCAUUUCAGGAUCUUUUUGUCCAAUCCAGAGUACAUUGCUGAAUGAGUAUUUAUAUAUUUGUUUAUUUUUUCCAUAUUUUCAACCCAUUUGCCUGUGUAUUAUUUGAACCAAGAGGGCUAAAUUGGAUUAAAAGAAUUGAAGAGGUAGAAGAGACAAAAAAAGGAGUCUUGUGAAGACAUAGUGAAAAGACAGCUGUCUGAAAGCCAGAGAAACAGUCCUCAUGGGGCAAUUGAAUCAUCUAACACCUUGAUCUUGGAGUUCUCAUCCUCCAGAACUGAUUUAUUAUCUUGGCAUCUGCUUUGAAAAGGACCCAACCAAAACAAUAUUAUAUCAGCAUAAAAUCUAAGGGUAGGUUUCUUUUAUAUUACAGCCUCAACAAAUUUGUGUAAGAUUGGAAUUUUGUCUUUCUUGAGUAUUUGGUAAAUAUUUUAAAGCAAUAUUUGAUCUCUGUAAAGUGAUUCGGAU